rnacentral:snRNA from 1 species
AUUCUUGUGCRGCGGCAAUUUUAUAGUCUAUGAAGUUUUACUGAGACGUGAUUAUUGCUGAUUGAAAAUUCGACAAAUUACCGCCUUGAUGACUUGAGAUACAGUCAGCUAUGGCAAUUUUUGUUAGUCUCCCAAGAGA